rnacentral:lncRNA from 1 species
AUCGGACGGUGGUGGGGUUGAAUUAACUCUCGAUUUGAUCUUAUCGACGGCGGCUUCGGAAAAACGGAAGAGUUUCUCCCUCAUCUGCGGCGCCGGCUGGCCUUGUUUGGUGGCGUCGUCGCCGUUGCAGGAAACAACCGGACUGAGGUCGAGCUUCACGCGGGUGUUUCGAGCUGUGGUCCGAUCAAGAAACGGCGGCACAACGACGGAGCUCGAAGUACCGUUACAGAUUUGAGCCCAAGAGCUCAUAAAAUGCCAAGUGGAGGUUCCGUCGAGGACGGCAUGGUUGAAAGCACACCCCAUUGCAACACCAUCUUUCAACUUCGUCAACUGUAUGGACAAAAGAGGCCUGUGAAGACCCUCCAAGUUCAAGACGCCAUUAAAAGGUAUCAAUUCCUUAAAUGAGCUCGUAC